ACUCCUACGGGAGGCUGCAGUAGGGAAUAUUGGGCAAUGGAGGCAACUCUGACCCAGCCAUGCCGCGUGCAGGAUGAAGGCCUUCUGGGUUGUAAACUGCUUUUUUACGGGAAGAAAAAGACCAUGCGUGGUAAACUGACGGUACCGUAAGAAUAAGCACCGGCUAACUCCGUGCCAGCAGCCGCGGUAAUACGGAGGGUGCAAGCGUUGUCCGGAUUUAUUGGGUUUAAAGGGUGCGUAGGCGGCUUAAUAAGUCCGUGGUGAAAUCCAACAGCUCAACUGUUGAACUGCCAUGGAUACUGUUAGGCUUGAGUACAGACGAGGUAGGCGGAAUGGAUAGUGUAGCCGUGAAAUGCAUAGAUACUAUCCAGAACACCGAUUGCGUAGGCAGCUUACUAGGCUGUAACUGACGCUGAGGCACGAAAGCGUGGGGAGCGAACAGGAUUAGAUACCCUGGUAGUCCACGCUGUAAACGAUGAUUACUCGAUGUUGGCGAUACACUGUCAGCGUCUUAGCGAAAGCGUUAAGUAAUCCACCUGGGGAGUACGCCCGCAAGGGUGAAA
rnacentral:rRNA from 1 species